rnacentral:rRNA from 1 species
GACGAACGCUGGCGGCGUGCUUAACACAUGCAAGUCGAACGAAGAGCGACGGAAGCUUGCUUCUAUCAAUCUUAGUGGCGAACGGGUGAGUAACGCGUAAUCAACCUGCCCUUCAGAGGGGGACAACAGUUGGAAACGACUGCUAAUACCGCAUACGAUCUAACCUCGGCAUCGAGGAUAGAUGAAAGGUGGCCUCUACAUGUAAGCUAUCACUGAAGGAGGGGACUGCGUCUGAUUAGCUAGUUGGAGGGGUAACGGCCCACCAAGGCGAUGAUCAGUAGCCGGUCUGGGAGGAUGAACGGCCACAUUGGGACUGAGACACGGCCCAGACUCCUACGGGAGGCAGCAGUGGGGAAUCUUCCGCAAUGGACGAAAGUCUGACGGAGCAACGCCGCGUGAGUGAUGACGGCCUUCGGGUUGUAAAGCUCUGUUAAUCGGGACGAAAGGCCUUCUUGCGAAUAGUGAGAAGGAUUGACGGUACCGGAAUAGAAAGCCACGGCUAACUACGUG